rnacentral:rRNA from 1 species
AUACGUAGGUGACAAGCGUUAUCCGGAUUUACUGGGUGUAAAGGGCGUGUAGGCGGGUCAGCAAGUCAGAUGUGAAAACCCGGGGCUUAACCCCGGGAGUGCAUCUGAGACUGUCGAUCUUGAGUACCGGAGAGGAAAGUGGAAUUCCCAGUGUAGCGGUGAAAUGCGUAGAGAUUGGGAGGAACACCAGUGGCGAAGGCGGCUUUCUGGACGGUAACUGAAGCUGAGGCGCGAAAGCGUGGGGAGCAAACAGGAUUAGAUACCCUGGUAGUCCACGCUGUAAACGAUGAAUACUAGGUGUAGGGGGUAUCAACUCCCUCUGUGCCGCAGCAAACGCAAUAAGUAUUCCACCUGGGGAGUACGACCGCAAGGUUGAAA